rnacentral:ncRNA from 1 species
GUGGUGGCGCGGGUUUUUACCGUUUCCUCCGCUUAAGUCCGGCCGAAGCAGAACGGUGUCAGGCAGGACUACACCAC